rnacentral:pre_miRNA from 1 species
AGCCUUCUGUGUCCGUGUUGAGAUUUCGUCACAUACCAAACCACAAGGGCUGUUGAAACUCACAUGAUAAGUGAAGUG